rnacentral:tRNA from 1 species
GGGCAAUUAGCUCAGGUGAUUAGAGCGCGUCGUUGACAUCGACGAGGUCGCUGGUUUGAGUCCAGCAUUGCCCA